rnacentral:rRNA from 1 species
GUGGGGAAUAUUGGGCAAUGGGGGAAACCCUGACCCAGCGACGCCGCGUGAGGGAAGAAGGCCUUAGGGUCGUAAACCUCUGUUGUGUGGGAAGAAGAGCGUGACGGUACCACACGAGGAAGUCCCGGCUAACUACGUGCCAGCAGCCGCGGUAAUACGUAGGGGACGAGCGUUGUCCGGAAUUACUGGGCGUAAAGGGCGCGUAGGCGGUCAUUUAAGUCAGCUGUGAAAUGGUCCGGCUCAACCGGAUCAUGCGGUUGAAAAUGGAUGCCUGGAGUGCUGGAGAGGCAAGUGGAAUUCCCGGUGUAGCGGUGAAAUGCGUAGAUAUUGGGAAGAACACCGGUGGCGAAGGCGACUUGCUGGCCAGCAACUGACGCUGAGGCGCGAAAGCCAGGGGAGCAAACGGGAUUAGAUACCCGAGUAGUCC